rnacentral:rRNA from 1 species
UACCUAACAGCUAGCUCAACAAAUUAGAAGUUAAUAUGCCCAUAUUUAUAAACCAAAAUAAAACACAAAAUCAAAACAAAACAUUUAACCCCCUGAGUAUAGGUGAUAGAAAUAGAA